rnacentral:misc_RNA from 1 species
AAAUGCUAUAAGUAAUGUGAAUUGCAGAAUUCAGUGAAUCAUCGAAUCUUUGAACGCACAUUGCGCCCGCCAGUAUUCUGGCGGGCAUGCCUGUUCGAGCGUCAUUUCAACCAUCAAGCCCCCGGCUUGUGUUGGGGACCUGCGGCUGCCCGCAGGCCCUGAAAAACAGUGGCGGGCUCGCUGUCACACCGAGCGUAGUAGCAUACAUUCUCGCUCAGGGCGUGCUGCGGGUUCCGGCCGUUAAACGACCUUCAUAACCCAAGGUUGACCUCGGAUCAGGUAGGAAGACCCGCUGCACUUAAGC